UACGUAGGGCGCAAGCGUUGUCCGGAAUUAUUGGGCGUAAAGAGCUCGUAGGCGGCUUGUCACGUCGGGUGUGAAAGCCCGGGGCUCAACUCCGGGCCUGCAGCCGAUACGGGCAGACUAGAGUUCGGCAGGGGAGACUGGAAUUCCUGGUGUAGCGGUGAAAUGCGCAGAUAUCAGGAGGAACACCGGUGGCGAAGGCGGGUCUCUGGGCCGAUACUGACGCUGAGGAGCGAAAGCGUGGGGAGCAAACAGG
rnacentral:rRNA from 1 species